CCACCAUCCUUCCUCGUCUGCGCACUGCCGCGGAAGAACAUACCACACGACCACAGACCUGGCUCCAGUCCUGCCUGACACCCAAGAUGAGUUCUUCUUCCAACAGGUUUUGUCGUCCGGUGACGCUGCCACUUCUGCUGCUGCUGCUGCUUCUGCUCGUGAGUUCGUCGUCGUUGGCGCUGGGCCUGGCCGACGCGAGCGGGCAGCACCGGCCGGCCCGGCGGUUGCUGGUGUCGCCGCCGUCGACGCACGGCUCCGAGCAACGAAUGCGGAUCGACGGUGAGAAGGAGCCCUUCAAGGACGCCCGGGCGAGCUUGGGGCGCCGGAAGAUACCGGCCUCACGGUAUAGUCCCAUCCACAACAGAUAGAAAGGUACUCUGAUGUCUGUGCCUGCUUGCUCGAUCGUACGACCUCAGUGGUCACGGUCUCCCGACGGCUCACCACUGGCCCUGGCGCCACCAUCGUGUUCCACGUAAAUCCGUGGCGGAACUGACGCGGCUGCUUCGGGCCGCCACCAAGCCUAUAUCGAUCGCGGCGGGGAACAAGAUUAGUAUCUGCCGCACUGUCAUUGAGCAUCUUGCUGAAGCACAAGCUUUUUGUAUAUGGAGGGGGAGUAAGAAAAGGAGAGCAUUUUCCAUGCAUCACUGUUGGCUAGGUCCGAGAAACAAGAAGACCAAGUCCGCAAGGCUUUCACAUCCACAUCCACUCCAACGCGUGAUUCAUCACAGAGGAGGCAAAAAUUGAAUAAAGCAGUAGAUGGUGGCGUAUACAAGGAGGCGCUAUGCGUUACAAGACAUGUUGGUCAUGUAGGAGAAAAUGGAGGCUGCCAAGCAAGACAAAAAGAGGCAAAGUGGAAGGAGGCGUGUUAAAUUCAGGAGCACAAGACGUCACUUGAGGAGGGCAAAGAUCACGUAAGAGCGAGUAGAAGACCAUGUGUUUGCCAUCUCUAACAUGGAUCCUGAUAAAAAAGAAUACAUCUUGGCUAUGCGAUCACAGUUUGCGGCUUCAAAGAUGGAUGUGUUAAAUGGUGGAUUUGGUGAUGAUGGGAAUGACAAUGGAAGUGGUGAUGUUUGAUGAUCAAGAUAUUUUGUUUCUUGCAUCUAGAUUAAACUAUGUCGAGUAUGUUGACGAUUUAAUUUACAUUUCAUUGUAAAUUUGAGAUUUAUGUUUUUUAUUUUAAUUCAAAUUGUGGCACUUCAAAUUUUGAAUUUUAAUAUUAUUGGGUUUUAUGUAUUAGAAAUGUUAGA